rnacentral:rRNA from 1 species
GACGAACGCUGGCGGCGUGCUUAACACAUGCAAGUCGAACGGAAAGGCCCUGCUUUUGUGGGGUGCUCGAGUGGCGAACGGGUGAGUAACACGUGAGUAACCUGCCCUUGACUUUGGGAUAACUUCAGGAAACUGGGGCUAAUACCGGAUAGGAGCUCCUGCUGCAUGGUGGGGGUUGGAAAGUUUCGGCGGUUGGGGAUGGACUCGCGGCUUAUCAGCUUGUUGGUGGGGUAGUGGCUUACCAAGGCUUUGACGGGUAGCCGGCCUGGGAGGGUGACCGGCCACAUUGGGACUGGGAUACGGCCCAGACUCCUACGGGAGGCAGCAGUGGGGAAUAUUGCACAAUGGGCGGAAGCCUGAUGCAGCAACGCCGCGUGCGGGAUGACGGCCUUCGGGUUGUAAACCGCUUUCGCCUGUGACGAAGCGUGAGUGACGGUAAUGGGUAAAGAAGCACCGGCUAACUACGUG